UAUUUGACAAGGCUUUCGUAGGAGUUGUGGGCAUUUCCAGGGGUAGUUUCAUGACCCUGGUGGUAGUUUGACCCUUCCUCUGUACCGUGAACCUGAAGAAACACCUAUUUGACAAGGCUUUCGUAGGAGUUGUGGGCAUUUCCAGAAGUAGUUUCAUGACCCUGGUGGUAGUGUGACCCUUCCUCUGUACCAUGAACCUGAAGAAACACCUAUUUGACAAGGCUUUCGUAGGAGUUGUGGGCGUUUCCAGGGGUAGUUUCAUGACCCUGGUGGUAGUUUGACCCUUCCUCUGUAUCAUGAACCUGAAGAAACACCUAUUUGACAAGGCUUUCGUAGGAGUUGUGGGCAUUUCCAGGAGUAGUUUCAUGACCCUAGAUGACAAUGUGUGUGUGGGCGGGAAGGGGGGAGUAGAAGGAGCUCUCUUAAGGAUUCCCGAUAUAUCACAUGAGAUAGAUCCUCCUUUCAAAAAUUUUAUACGAGAGAUUUAAUUCAUGCUUACAAGUUAUCAUUCAAUCGAUUACAUACGGAUUCAAGAUGCUGAUUAAUUAACUCUUGCAUAAGGGGUUUGGACAGUAUAGGGAUGAAAGAGUGAAGAUGCUGGUUAACUCUUGCAUAAGGGGUUUGGACAGUAUAGGGAUGAAAGAGUGAAGAUGCUGGUUAACUCUUGCAUAAGGGGUUUGGACAGUAUAGGGAUGAAAGAGUGGAGAUGCUGGUUAACUCUUGCAUAAGGGGUUUGGACAGUAUAGGGAUGAAAGAGUGAAGAUGCUGGUUAACUCUUGCAUAUGGGUUUGGACAGUAUAGGGAUGAAAGAGUGAAGAUGCUGGUUAACUCUUGCAUAAGGGGUUUGGACAGUAUAGGGAUGAAAGAGUGAAGAUGCUGGUUAACUCUUGCAUAAGGGGUUUGGACAGUAUAGGGAUGAAAGAGUGAAGAUGCUGGUUAACUCUUGCAUAAGGGGUUUGGACAGUAUAGGGAUGAAAGAGUGGAGAUGCUGGUUAACUCUUGCAUAAGGGGUUUGGACAGUAUAGGGAUGAAAGAGUGAAGAUGCUGGUUAACUCUUGCAUAAGGGGUUUGGACAGUAUAGGGAUGAAAGAGUGAAGAUGCUGGUUAACUCUUGCAUAAGGGGUUUGGACAGUAUAGGGAUGAAAGAGUGAAGAUGCUGGUUAACUCUUGCAUAAGGGGUUUGGACAGUAUAGGGAUGAAAGAGUGAAGAUGCUGGUUAACUCUUGCAUAAGGGGUUUCAGCAACCUGUACUGCCUUGCAACUUAAAUUUUAAUUAUUCUUGACUCCUGUAUUUCUUAAGCUCAAUUUCCUGACCCUGUCUAUAAACCUAUGACCUAUAAACCACCUAUAAAAACUAAUUACAACCAGAUUAAGCUUCUUUUUGUCCUUUCUCUGCCUCUGUGGUGGAGUGUUUCCCAUGUGGUAUUGGUGUGCUGGAUAUCCCUUCACUGGUAGCCUGGUAACAUACACUCCCAGGUCUUUCUCUGUGGUGGAUAGUGGAGUGUUUCCCAUGUGGUAUUGGUGUGCUGGAUAUCCCUUCACUGGUAGCCUGGUAACAUACACUCCCAGGUCUUUCUCUGCCUCUGUGGUGGAUAGUGGAGUGUUUCCCAUGUGGUAUUGGUGUGCUGGAUAUCCCUUCACUGGUAGCCUGGUAACAUACACUCCCAGGUCUUUCUCUGCCUCUGUGGUGGAUAGUGGAGUGUUUCCCAUGUGGUAUUGGUGUGCUGGAUAUCCCUUCACUGGUAGCCUGGUAACAUACACUACCAGGUCUUUCUCUGCCUCUGUGGUGGAUAGUGGAGUGUUUCCCAUGUGGUAUUGGUGUGCUGGAUAUCCCUUCACUGGUAGCCUGGUAACAUACACUCCCAGGUCUUUCUCUGCCUCUGUGGUGGAUAGUGGAGUGUUUCCCAUGUGGUAUUGGUGUGCUGGAUAUCCCUUCACUGGUAGCCUGGUAACAUACACUCCCAGGUCUUUCUCUGCCUCUGUGGUGGAUAGUGGAGUGUUUCCCAUGUGGUAUUGGUGUGCUGGAUAUCCCUUCACUGGUAGCCUGGUAACAUACACUCCCAGGUCUUUCUCUGCCUCUGUGGUGGAUAGUGGAGUGUUUCCCAUGUGGUAUUGGUGUGCUGGAUAUCCUCUCCCAAGGUGUAGGACUUUACAUUUUUCUUCAUUUAAUUGUAGCAUUGAAUUGGUGAGGUCAUCUUGUAGGAAAUCCACAUUCAAGGGGUUUAGAACAUUGCCGUAAGUCGACUAAUGGCUCCGAUCGAAUGAAAGAUGAAGAACUUUUUAAAUUUAUUAUCAAACAAUCCAGCACAAAACCUUAUGAGUCAUUAAUGCAACGAGAGAAACUGUUAUGGAGGAGGAACAACGCAGGGAAACUAAUAAUAGUCUUUAUAAUCACAAAACACAAGACAAACAAGUAAUGGUAUUCAAAUAUUAGGUCAGCAAAAAUGUCAAUACAAGCCGUCACUUUUGGGCAAUAUCCUUUACGCUUAACCUUUGCAGUUCAAUGUUAUUUUGCUCAUCAACACCCUGACCCAGUAACACAGCCUUCCUUCCUUCCUCUGUACACAUUCUGGACUUCAUGAACUUCUCUCAUUCAGGAGUCCGACACAUGUCAAUAACUUGGUUUGGACAGCCUCCACGAAAGUCUGUCCGUGUGUCUGAUCAUCCCCAGAGACGGGAGUUGCUCAGAGAAGUAAGCAUCACACACAAAGCCCUCCUUGGCACCAGUGGGAUGUGUGGGAUAUGAAGUGUAUCCCAGCACAACAGCAGUACAUUGGGAUUGGGGUUGCUGUCCCACGAAACAUGAGCACUUUUUGUUAGGCCGAGGUGUGGUCACAAUCCCACCUUCCCGUCAAAUGCAAUGUCAUCAAAUAUGCAUGUAAGAUGAGCGAGAGAGAGCUGCUUCCUCAUAACAAAGACUGAUAAAAAUGAACUUGUUAAUAUUAAUUUUUAUGCCUCGCCCAAUCCCUCAGAGUGAUUGCUUUACACAUCUGCCGUACACACCCACGUAAAAGUCGACAUUUUGAAACAACUCUUUAACCCCUUCACUACGGCCGAGCCAAAACAGUGCCCCGCGCCGUAUCCGAGAUCGCCGUGCGUGCCAAAUUUCAAAUGUCGCUAUUGAAUAUAACAAGUUUUCAGCCAUAAACUCAACAUAAUCAUCAUGUAUUGUAUAUGAAAACAUGCUGAAUUAAAUGAUGCACUUAAAGAAACUCACUACGGGUGGCCCAAAACAGUGCUCCGUGCCGUAUCCGAGAUCGCCGUGCGUGCCAAAUUUCAAAUGUCGCUAUUGAAUAUAACAAGUUUUCAGCCAUAAACUCAACAUAAUCAUCAUGUAUUAUAUAUGAAAACAUGCUGAAUUAAAUGAUGCACAUAAAGAAACUUACUACGGCCGGGCCAAAACAGUGCCCCGCGCCGUAUCCGAGAUUGCCGUGCGCGCCAAAUUUCAAAUGUCGCUAUUGAAUAUAACAAGUUUUCAGCCAUAAACUCAACAUAAUCAUCAUGUAUUGUAUAUGAAAACAUACUGAAUAUAAGUACAAAUACAUCACUCCACAGGGAUAUCACAAACCAAUACAACCCCACACUCAAGACCCCACUGCCUGGCCUGUCAGCUGUACGCACAUCCAGUAAACUCCUUAAGUAACUACAAUAUUUCCCUGUACAGCACCGUUGCCAGGUUAUCGUACUCGGAGCGUCACCCAUCCCUGCUUCUCACCCUUUAAAUAUCACCAGGAAACAAGUAUAAUUAACCAUUUCAACCAUAACAACAUAAAAAGGGAGUUAUAGGGCACAGGAGACAGCUUUUGGGUUGGAAAUCAGGAAAUAUGAGAAACUGAUUACGAGUCUGGCAAUGUUGCUCGACAGUAAACUUUGCAAUCAAUGAAACACAGAUUUGUUGAGCCAUUUGUGUAAUCAUUGUUUUUGUUUACGUUAUGACCUGAUAAAACAGUAUCCAUUUCAACAAGUGGAUUUUCCUUUCAUAAAACAAUGCAAAUAACUGUUAAUCUUUUUAUUUUGAUGCAAUACCUUGUGCUCCUCGACUUAUUAUGUGACAAGAGAUGAUGGCGCCACUAUAAACACCUGCCCGCACCAAUACGAGAUGGGGCCGACUACCAUCCAGGCCCCUCAAGGAAGCCUACUGGUGCGAUAGGCUUAGACGUAGAAAAAAAUAAAUAAA